rnacentral:tRNA from 1 species
CGUAAUUGGGGAUGUAGCUCACAUGGUAGAGCGCUCGCUUUGCAUGUGAGAGGUACGGGGUUCAAUACCCCGCAUCUCCAU